AAAACGGGCUUGGUAAUUAAACUCUGUUAAUACUAAAAGACGGGUAACGUACCGUUAUUAGUAAAAAUAACCCGGCAAAUAUUUGGAUUUAAAUAAGAAAUCCUAAUAUUAAAUAAAAACGAAUCAAAGUUUUAAGUAAUUAAGUUUAUAAAAGGCCCGAUUUAACGGGACUUAAAGUAAAACGGGUUACGACUUCCCGAACCUACUAAGCUAACUAGGAAUAAUUCUAACCUAGUUAGAUAGUGACUUAUGAGUGGGUUAAAACACUUAAAUUAUGAACUAAGGAAAAUGAAGGGGCCAAAGAUGUUAAAAUCGAAACUUAUGUUGCUAAUUUAAUUAAAACAAAAACCAAACACCCCAUUUGGGGAUGUCUGGUCGUACAAAGAAGCAGGAGGCGAUGGGUUUCUUCAAACCCUAAAAUCCUUACUAAAACUCUCAAAUUGGAGGUGCAAAUCUGGUCCAAAACGAAAAUUCGAGCAUAGAUUACUGAUCCCCAUUGCAAGGGGGUUGUAAGUUUGACUCUUGACAAGCUAGAUGGAGGCUUGGAAUGAAGCGGGUCAAACGGAGCAGGUACGAAAAGGAAAGCGUAAUUUGGAUGCGAGGUAAGUAAAGCUUACGCCCUCUUUUGUAAGUUAUGUGUUUAUUCAUAGGUUGUAAAUACGACAAAAGCUAUAUUUGGAAUAUGGUUCCGACACGAAAUGUAACGGGUCGGGACAUAUAAAAUAAUGAUAAACCAUGUUUAAUGGUAAAAUGGGCGAAAUGGUAAUUGGUCACGAGAUGACAUAUAUAUAAAAUGAGUUUUUGAAUGACUACUUAUUAAGGUAAGCCUAAACGAAUAAAAAGAGUAAAACGACGAAUUAGUCAUGUGUAGACGAAAAAGAGUUGAAGUUUAAAACAACACCAUUUAAUAUUAAGCACAAAAUAUUUGGUAGUCUAGACCAAACGGGUCAAAUGGUAAUAUUUAUACCAUUUGACAAUUAACGACUAAUAAGUGUAUGUCGAGUCUCAUGCUCGCAGGGUAAUUGGUUUAUGAAUUAGCGAGGCUAUGAAUUAGCAUAUUAUAGAGACAAGGUCUUAAAACGGGUCAAUAUGUUGACCCGAGCCAGGUACGCUUAUAUAUAUAGAUGUAUAGUUAAAAGUGUUUAACUUCCCUUCACGGGUCAAAAGGAGUAGAUAGGUAAAACGGGUUAAGAAUUCAUAAGAAACCCGUAAUUUGAACCUUGCACAUUAGUAAAUUGAUAUAACGUGAUAUGCAUGAUAUUUUGAAUAUGAUUGAUUGAUCUUUGAUAUUGGUUCAUAUGUAACAUAUUAGAAUUUCGAGAAACUAAUUGGUAUGUUAGAAAGAGCGAAAUCCGAGAUUUAGGCAUUGAGUAUAAUGAACAAAGCAACCAAAAGAUGGAUUUACAGGGACUACCGUAAGUUACGGUAGUACCGUAAGUUACGGUAGAGGUCAGGAGCUUACGGUGUGAGUCUACUGGUUUACGGUGGACCAUUAUUGGAAAUUGACCACCGUAACUUACGGUGAAACCGUAAGUUACGGUAGGGCCUGAAUGUUUAUAAAUUUUAUAUAAUUGUAAAUUUUCAAAUUCAUUUCGAUCGUAGUUUCGAUCAAGUAUCAUUUCUAAGCAUUCUAAUAUAAAUGUUUAUGUAAACAUUUCAGUCUUAGGUGCUCAAGGAUUAUGGGUGACGAUCAAGCAACUUUUGAAGGACCGAACACAUACUCUUGAAGCUUCCGCAUAAAUCAACUCGGUUUAAACAAUGUUUAUGAUGUAAACUGUUUGCUAAACAACUUUUGAAAUGUUUAAACGACGUACUCAAUUAUGUUAUGUUGUAUUAUUUUAAAAUUGUAAAGUUCAAACAAACCCGUAUUUUUACAAAGUAUAUGUAGUCAUAAUUACAUGUUGUUUGUCGUAUACUUUACAAAAACCAUUAAAUAAUGACAAGGGUGUUACAAAUUGGUAAUCAGAGCUCAUGGUUAAAGAGUAAAUUGUGUUCGGUUCGAGGCUUGAUCGCAAAUCCGGUAAGUACAUGUAUAUUAAUGGUUUGUUAUGUGUUGAAAUGUUGUGAACAACACAUAAGGUUAUCGUGUGAUACACGUUACCUCAAUUAAAUGAUAAAUAUAGUUGACAAAAUUGCGCGCGUUGAUGCGUAUAGUAGAAAAGCCUUGUAUUAUAAUACGGGCGAUUAUUGAAGUUGAUAUUACUAAUUCUUGUAAAUGUUUUAAUUGAAGGACACUCGCAUCUGAAGAUAGCGAGAGUUUAACAAAUUGCGGAUAUGGUGAUGGAACGGUCCGAGAUGUGACAAGAAGAGCAUACUAAUCAAGGACCUAAAUCGCGUAACGAUCGCAAAUAAGUAAUGGCAAGGAAUGUCCGUUGGGGCAAGCAUUACCAGGUGCACAUUUUAAACUUAUAGUACAAACAGUAAUAUGCAACACAUACAUAGUGAAUGACAGUUGCAUAUAGAAUAUGAAACUUGGAAAACCUGGAUAGGUUACCUAUCCAGGAUGACGUUUCCAAGAGAAAUUCAGUAGAGAAUAUGUAUCACAAAUUGUGAAUAACAAGACAAUAACAGAAUUCAGUUUAUAUAGAAACUUGGACGAGAGUGAUCAUCCAAGUAAGUAUUCUCAAUAUAAAUCUUAUUGAGAAAAGUAAUGAUCACAUCAACGAAUGUGAAUAAAUGUUUAUAAAAAGGGACAUUUUAAAUGUUCAAGGAUAAACGACUAAAACUAAUAAUUGUUAACUAACAAUUAAAUAAAGUUUUACCAAAUGAAAUCAUAAAUAUGGAGAUAAUUUGAGGAGUUACUUACAUGGGACGUGAUGUGGUAAUUAUAAUAAGGUCACGCGUACCAUGUGUUGAUCGCUUACUCUGGCCAAGUAAGUAGUGAACACAUGAUAGCAUGAGCUUCUUAUAAUGAGCGCAGUUAUGUCCGAUGUAGUAAGGUCAAGAUGAAUGAAAAUUUAAAGGAUCCUUAGGGUUAAGAAAUCUUAUGGGCAUACUCGUAUAAAUGGUUUUCGCGGGAACCAUAAAAACGAUGUAUGGCGCACAUAGAAACAAAAGACCCAAGGAAAUUCGUGACAUAAGUCAUUUUGGACGAAACAACCAUGGUAGACAAAAAGGGCAUUGUAAAACCAAAGUAUAAAUGACCCGCUGGGUCAUAGAAACAAAGGUAUUGCCCACAUGAGAAAACGAUCAAAGUCGUUGACUUUGGUUGUAGUAAAGAAAUAAUGAUGAUGAUAAUCAUCAUUCAUAGUUUAUAAGACUGUCAAGGAUGGUCAAAUAAAGAAUAAAGGUUUGGUUGAAUAAAAGCGAUGGAUUUCGCUAAGACAACCAAACAAAUUAAAACGAAAUCUUAAUGUAUACCGGAAUGCUUGCACUAAUAAUGACUUCGGUAAAGUACCCGGUUGAUGGGUAAGGAUUUAAACACAUGCGUAAACCGAGAAACGGGAACACGAAUUUAAAGUCAAAAGACUCGGAUUACGAGUUAUGACUAUAAAAUCUCGUAUAUAGAAAUUGUGAGUAAAUAUGUUCAACUAUUCGAAGUCGAAUGGGUUGAAUAAAGAAUAAAGUUGAUUGUUUAUAAGUGAUGGAUUUCACAUUAAUAAGUCAAACAUGUUGAAUACAAUAUAACGCCGAAUGGCACAAGUGAGCGCUAGCCAGAAAAAGGUAGCGUUAAAUGCAAGAGAAUAAUGAGCCCGGUAAUGGGAUAUAACCAAAUAAGAAUAUAUGCAAAUCAAAUAACAGUAAGCAUAAGAAGAACUGACGCAUAAAUGACGUGAGAAGUCAUAAAAUCGGAAAAUCGUCCGAAAGAAAACAAUUAUAGCCAUGAAACUACAAUUAAGGUUAACGGGACCUAAGCUUGAAACCAAAUAAUUCUUCGAACAAAAACAGGGUGCCUUGACACCAAACAUGUGUUUUAAGAAUGACAUGAGUAAGGAGUGAUCUACGGGAUCAACACCUUUAGGGUUAUAAACAAAUGAAAGAUCUACGGGACUAAAACGACGCAUGGGUCAUGAUUAGAAAGAAGUUAUAAGGACUUCGCCCUAAAGAGGUGAAAGUCUAAUCAAAAUAGCCCAUAAGGCUAAGUGAUAAAAACCUACGGGUUAAUUAGAUAAAGCGAGGGAAUCGGUUGAGAAUCCCCGCAUAAAACUAAGACUGUAAAAGAAUAAAUUAUGGACUGUCAAUAUCCUGGUAUGGAUAAUUGACAAAAGUUAAAGAGAAGAUCCUAAAACUAAAACUUCGGUUUUAGUAAGAAAUAGCGUUUUUACAAACAUAAAUUCUGAUAGGAAUUUAAAUAGUAAGCAUGAAAGAUACAAGUCUUGACACUGAUAGGCGCAAGACGAUAUAUUCGAAAAGUGAUAUUUUCAAAAAUGAAAGGUUGAUACAAACUAAACACGAUGUGACACGAUCACGGUUAGGAAAUGUAAUGUGAAGUAAAAUCACGUUAUAACCAAGCGAGCAGUGAGAAGUAACGGGACUAAUAAGUCUAGUUAGUAAGACCGGUUAAGGCCAGUAAUUCAAAUCAAUAAAAAAAAUUGGUUUGCUUGUAAGCGGUGGAUUCGGUAUAACUGAACCGAAUAAAUAAAUCUGAAAACAAAAGAAAUUAUUGCUAAAAGUGAAAUAUUUCACUAAAGACCUUUAAACGGGUCAAGGUAACGGAUUCACCAAGAGUUCGAUAAUAUAUAAAAGCGAUGGAAAUCGCUAAGUUAACUAAACUAGUAGAAAUAACGGAAUUACGUUAUUUCAAAUUACAUUAUGUCGUAUGAGGUACGUAGAGGUUCUGUAACCAAAAAGAUAUUACCAAAAUUUUUCUGGUAAUACUAACAAUUGGUUAAAAUAUGAAUAAUGCUUAAGAGAUUACUCAGGUCAAACGCAUUGAGUUUAGAACUCAAUGAACUAUGUAAGCAAGGUUUCGAGGACGAAACCUCUUUAAGGGGGGUAGACUUGUAACACCCCGAAAACGGGCUUGGUAAUUAAACUCUGUUAAUACUAAAAGACGGGUAACGUACCGUUAUUAGUAAAAAUAACCCGGCAAAUAUUUGGAUUUAAAUAAGAAAUCCUAAUAUUAAAUAAAAACGAAUCAAAGUUUUAAGUAAUUAAGUUUAUAAAAGGCCCGAUUUAACGGGACUUAAAGUAAAACGGGUUACGACUUCCCGAACCUACUAAGCUAACUAGGAAUAAUUCUAACCUAGUUAGAUAGUGACUUAUGAGUGGGUUAAAACACUUAAAUUAUGAACUAAGGAAAAUGAAGGGGCCAAAGAUGUUAAAAUCGAAACUUAUGUUGCUAAUUUAAUUAAAACAAAAACCAAACACCCCAUUUGGGGAUGUCUGGUCGUACAAAGAAGCAGGAGGCGAUGGGUUUCUUCAAACCCUAAAAUCCUUACUAAUACUCUCAAAUUGGAGGUGCAAAUCUGGUCCAAAACGAAAAUUCGAGCAUAGAUUACUGAUCCCCAUUGCAAGGGGGUUGUAAGUUUGACUCUUGACAAGCUAGAUGGAGGCUUGGAAUGAAGCGGGUCAAACGGAGCAGGUACGAAAAGGAAAGCGUAAUUUGGAUGCGAGGUAAGUAAAGCUUACGCCCUCUUUUGUAAGUUAUGUGUUUAUUCAUAGGUUGUAAAUACGACAAAAGCUAUAUUUGGAAUAUGGUUCCGACACGAAAUGUAACGGGUCGGGACAUAUAAAAUAAUGAUAAACCAUGUUUAAUGGUAAAAUGGGGGAAAUGGUAAUUGGUCACGAGAUGACAUAUAUAUAAAAUGAGUUUUUGAAUUACUACUUAUUAAGGUAAGCCUAAACGAAUAAAAAGAGUAAAACGACGAAUUAGUCAUGUGUAGACGAAAAAGAGUUGAAGUUUAAAACAACACCAUUUAAUAUUAAGCACAAAAUAUUUGGUAGUCUAGACCAAACGGGUCAAAUGGUAAUAUUUAUACCAUUUGACAAUUAACGACUAAUAAGUGUAUGUCGAGUCUCAUGCUCGCAGGGUAAUUGGUUUAUGAAUUAGCGAGGCUAUGAAUUAGCAUAUUAUAGAGACAAGGUCUUAAAACGGGUCAAUAUGUUGACCCGAGCCAGGUACGCUUAUAUAUAUAGAUGUAUAGUUAAAAGUGUUUAACUUCCCUUCACGGGUCAAAAGGAGUAGAUAGGUAAAACGGGUUAAGAAUUCAUAAGAAACCCGUAAUUUGAACCUUGCACAUUAGUAAAUUGAUAUAACGUGAUAUGCAUGAUAUUUUGAAUAUGAUUGAUUGAUCUUUGAUAUUGGUUCAUAUGUAACAUAUUAGAAUUUCGAGAAACUAAUUGGUAUGUUAGAAAGAGCGAAAUCCGAGAUUUAGGCAUUGAGUAUAAUGAACAAAGCAACCAAAAGAUGUAUUUACAGGGACUACCGUAAGUUACGGUAGUACCGUAAGUUACGGUAGUACCGUAAGUUACGGUAGAGGUCAGGAGCUUACGGUGUGAGUCUACUGGUUUACGGUGGACCAUUAUUGGAAAUUGACCACCGUAACUUACGGUGAAACCGUAAGUUACGGUAGGGCCUGAAUGUUUAUAAAUUUUAUAUAAUUGUAAAUUUUCAAAUUCAUUUCGAUCGUAGUUUCGAUCAAGUAUCAUUUCUAAGCAUUCUAAUAUAAAUGUUUAUGUAAACAUUUCAGUCUUAGGUGCUCAAGGAUUAUGGGUGACGAUCAAGCAACCUUUGAAGGACCGAACACAUACUCUUGAAGCUUCCGCAUAAAUCAACUCGGUUUAAACAAUGUUUAUGAUGUAAACUGUUUGCUAAACAACUUUUGAAAUGUUUAAACGACGUACUCAAUUAUGUUA